rnacentral:rRNA from 1 species
UACGGAGGGUGCAAGCGUUAUCCGGAUUCACUGGGUUUAAAGGGUGCGUAGGCGGGCAUUUAAGUCAGUGGUGAAAUACCUGAGCUUAACUUGGGAACUGCCAUUGAUACUAUUUGCCUUGAAUGUCGUGGAGGUUAGCGGAAUAUGUCAUGUAGCGGUGAAAUGCUUAGAUAUGACAUAGAACACCUAUUGCGAAGGCAGCUAACUACGCGAAUAUUGACGCUGAGGCACGAAAGCGUGGGGAUCAAACAGG